rfam:Aedes albopictus isolate Foshan contig137589, whole genome shotgun sequence.
UGUUCUGUGGCUUAGUUGGUUAAAGCGCCGGUCUAGCGAAUACGGACUCGCCGGUUCGAAUCCCACCAGAACGC